CUUUUUUAUUCUGGUCAAGUGCACAGGAACAAAAUAUUCUGUUCACAUGGAGUAAAAUGUUGAAACAGUAAAAUACACUCCACAGUAUUAGCCAAUAUUCCCAAAGUCCUUUACUGAUAAAAACCCCCAAACUUAUUUCCAAUACUUAAUGAGUUGAAUUACCUUUCUCUCCCUACCCACCCCCACUUUUCUCUUUGGAGAGAACGGAAGCUUUAACAGCUUUCCCUCAGUAAUACAUGGAAUUUUACAGCAGAGCCAGAAAUAAAACUAGGUCUUCUUGAUGUCUCUACUUGCUAAUGCAAGAGCAGCAGGAACGAAGCAUUCAUUGCCCAUAGAAUUAUCUGUCUUUUUUAAACUAUAUGCAAACAUAUAUGAGUCAACAUGAACAGGGAACUGUUUUCCCAGGUAAUCUACACUUGUGAUUUCCUCUUGCUAAGAAUGCUUCACUCGAGCCCCUUUGUGCUCCCAUGUUCUCUCCCCACCUGCUGCCAUCCCCACUGCACAGCAGUGCAGAGUCCCUGUGCAGCACUGAGGAAGAUGAACUGCUGCAGUCACUCAACUGGCUCCUUUGCCUUUUUUAGUGCCCCCAGAGAGCUGGGAGAGUUCAAAGAAAGUGAACCUAUUGUCUGAAUCCCUUCACAUCUAAUCUGUGCCUGAGGAAGCCCUGGGUCUGAUGAGAAGACUUACACUCCAGCUGUUUCAAAUACAGUAGCAACGUCAAGGGUAGCCACUGCAAAUCCUGAUUUUUUUACUGCCCCUUCAAAAAUAACUUUUACAAGUACUUUUCUACCACAUGUAAGCUGAGCUUUUUCCUUGGCUCUUGGGAAUGAAGGGCAACCUUGUAAUUUGAGUAAGAGGAAGCCUGGAAGUGUGCUCUCUCCAGAGACCUACAAAGGAGUAACAACUGAGCUGCUGUGCCUCUUUUGAUUUUGGGAGAGGGAAUAUACAGCUUUGCUCCCUUCUGCAGGCACUGAGCCAGCCAGUCUGCUCAGUGUGAGCCAGAACAAAUUCUGUUCCCCAUGGCCUUCCAGGCGCUGCUUACAAGAGAGUAUGAGGUGAGCAGAGGCACACCUCUUCUUGCCUGGAGGCACAAUGUCCCUAGCUAGCCUGGGAUAAAAACGUGUUACAUGCAUAUGCAGUGAUGGGCACUCUGACACACACCUGCACACCAACAACCUGCUCAUAAAGCCUGAUGUAGCAAUGGCAGAGGUAUGAUGAGUUAAAUGACAGGCUGGGCUCCUUCCCAUUAGUGUGUCAGCCAGCUGAGUAAGACCCAGCAUGGGCUUUUUAUGGACCAGGCUUGUCAAACACUCCAUAUGCACAACCAUCAUACCUUUAUGCUCCAACUCUGUCAAAGGCAAACCAGACCUGGACACAGACAAAAUCUACAUUUAAAUAACACUGGAUUAAUUGAAGAAGCACUUAAGAAGGAGAUGUGAAGGAAGCUGAUGAUCAGUUAAGGGGUUUCUCAAUUUUUCUUUCAGUAUUUUGAAAUAUCCCAUCUGCUUUUGAAUAGGGUGAUAGAGUACUGCACCUCCAAGAUGUGUACUCAAUCACAGUCAGAAUCAGCAUUUGCUUUCAGUAGAUACACAGGAGCAGAGAACUUCAGUAAGAAUGUAAAGCAAAGAGCUUCAUCUUCUCUUAAUUAACCCUUGGAAGUUCCUGCACCAUGCUGCUCUGAACCCAGGAACUCUCUCAUGGACCUUCAUUAUUUUGUAUUUUCCUAAUAGUUUAAAAUGUAUUUUUAAGAAGUCUGUCUGCCUGUCUAGGACUUCAUUAUGAUCUAAAAAGAGACUGUCAAUGAUGGAAAAACUUUAUUUGCCUUAUUUGCAUUCCCUAAAGUUAUUUUUAAAUUCAGCUUUUAUUUCUCUAGUUCUAAUAAAGAUCCUUUGUUUUUCUUUAACUAGAAAAUAUAUGGGGGAGACAAAUGAUCCAUCAUUGAGGAUGACAGAUGUGCUUACCUGUGCAGAAUAGAAAAAAAUUCCUACCAAUUUUCUACUGUCAGACUCUGCAAUGAUUUUUCACAUGUGCAAAGAACUGCAAAUCAGUGAGUAAGGGAACAGAAUGGGAUGAGACAUGGAGUGGGGAUUGUGAUGACUCAGGAAAAAAGAACCACCUUCAUCUGUAACGUGUGAACAAGUUGUCAGUAAAUUAGUCCCUGACCACUAAGAUAAUGGUUUCUAAAUGGUGUGGGAAUUAACUUUAUUCUGCUGCAGUUUGUGCUCUUACUUUAUUCCUCAAAGACCUCCUAGCUGCUCGAUACUUUAAUCCUGCAGUUCCUUUUCUCUGUAGCUGCAGUUCUGAGGUGACAAAAAAGCUCAGGUCAGCUUGAGAAAAGGUACUGAACUCUUGCCUCAAGUCUGCAUUAUGACUAAUUUAAUUGCUCACAACUUCCUCUAUUUCCUUAGGAAGUGAACAGCUCAUGGGUCCAUUUUGCCAAAAAGCAGAUGCAUUAAGUCUUCCACACUUCAUCUAAAAAUUUAGGGCUGUAUUAAGGGAAAAAAUUACCAGGCUACAGAAGGAGUUUGCCUCCUGAGGAAAGGAGUUUCAACGAUUUCCAAUAGGUAAUUGUUCCAAAUUCACAGAUUCCCUGUGUUACCUAUUGAAAUGUUUGAGUAGAGAGACAAAUAUGUAAAACUUCUAAAGGGAAAAUAAAAAUAUGACAGAGGUAAAAAAAGAGAAGACUACAUAACAAAAAUAGACAAAGAAAAAAAAAACCAGAAAAAAAAGGAGGAUAAAAAGUCAUCACCUUCAAGACUCUCCAGGUACAAGCUGCUCAGCAGGGAAUUUGAGAACUGGCACUGCCAGCACAGGGAGAUAGCACAGCAAUGAAGGGCAUGGCUCAAGACAGCCAGGCACGUAUCGUUUUCUCUCUCCUUCCCAAGGACAGCACAUCAGGACAGCUGCCAUUCAGAGGAUGCUCAUUCAGCUCCUUCUGGCCACUGCUCACCAGCAGCGAGCUGCCAGGCAGGUGUCACUGCUGUCAGGCAGUCAUGCUCCUCUCCCUCUGCCUGAGCUUGCUCACCAGCAGCUGCUCCAGCUGGCAUUUAUGAGACACAGAUGCUCUUCACAUUCACUUGAAGAAGAAGCCUGCAGGUACUGCCACAUUUAUUGCUUUCCGACCUUCCUUCAGCCACAUGCUGUUAUUUAGCCUAGGACUUCUUCUCUUGACAGCUGCCUAGACAAUGCAAUCCUGAAACAGGGAUGGGGUUUGUUCCUAGGCAUGGUCCCAGCACUAACAGCUACUGAGUUUCCUUUGUCCCCACCCCCGAGAGGUACAUCUGUCCUUAGGCUGUAAACUCAUGUUUGAUGACAUGUUGUUCACUUGGUAAUUACUCAGUAUGACAUGGGAGUUCACAGCUGUGUGUGACUUCCCUGUUUGCACAGUCUAGCAGCUGAAGAUUUGUCUUUCCAGCAACACUUAUCUGCCUUCAGGGGAAUACAGGGCAGCACCAUCUGCUUGCAGAUGUUUUUAUAUGAAAACUUACUGUGAAUUUUGAAUACAUGGACACAAGUGAUGCAUUAUACCUGGAAACAAGUAAUGACAUUUUGUUACAUGUCUCAAUCUUGGAUUUGGUGUGCCCAGAUUGAGAGGUCUUUGAAACCCAAAUCUUUUGCGCUACAAUUGUUCAGUUUACCAUUUCAGAACUGGAAAAUUGACUAUGGCACAGGUUAUUGGGCCCAGUCACAUAAUUUACCAGACUACACUUGAAGCUUGAGCCUGGGACCUAAGCAUCCUGAGAGAUGUAGGUGAAAAAUGUUCAGUGAAUCAAGCAGGGGUAUAGGCUUGAGAUAAAUUUAAUUGCCAUUAAACUUCCCAAUGUGUAGUUCACAGCACAGAGAAAAAUUAAGAGCUAAAAAUUUAUAUUCUAGUGAAGAAAAAAACCCCAAAACACAUUCCAGUGACUGACUGCUUGAGUCUUAUUCGAUCAGAGCGUUCCUUUUUGUUUUCCCCAGUGAUUUUAUAACAGACUCAAAACUCUGGAACCAAAUGAAAAAAAAAAAAAACAACCUGCUAAUCUAAGAUGUUUGGUUGAGCUAUUCCAGAUUUACCCUGGUUUAAUCAGCAGCAGAAUUUAGCCCUUCUUAAGAAAAUAUAAGAAAGCUUGCAUGUUGCAACAGGUAAGGAAAUAACAGAAAUUACACCAAGUGCAACCACACAUAGUCUAUGAAUAUUGCAGUUUUCAAACAGGUCAUAUGGCCUCAUGUCAAGCAAAAUAUCUGAUGAGAAAAUAAGAGACAAAAUAGGGAAUCGAAAUUGUAUUUGAUUCUGCUUUUACUUAUGCUGCUGUAAAUCUACACCAGCCAAAAAUCUGACAUGUGGGACAUAAUGCAGGAGAGUAUCUUGGGAAAACCUACAUGUAACUUCAAUAAAUGAAUAAUGCACUUUAACAUACUGACAACAAAAAAGAAAAAAAGGAAAUAACAAUUAAGUGGAGUAUAUGCUUAUCUGCAUUUAGGAAAAUGCUUUCACUGCAGAAUAUUUCAAAUUCCAAACACUCAGAGGACUGUGAAAUGAAAAUAUUCCUUUUUUGCUUAGCCUUAGAAACACUGCCUAAAUAUCUACCUGAUAAUUUGUAUAAUUUUGUCUUUGCUUUAUAAGAAAAAUAUAAUACCAUUUACUGAUUGGAUGGAUAAUAAAAAAAAAAACAACAAUUACCCAGAAAUCCUUAAUGGGGAACAUAAUCUUUUUUUAAAGUAUUUAUUUCAUUACAACAUAAAUUGGGAGUACAUAAAAAGCUUUACCUAUAUAUGCUUCAAAAAUGAAACUAUUAAUACAUCAGUUACACAAAUAAUUCACCUGAACUGUGAACAGUGUCUAAAGAAUUUGCAUUAAUCUGUUGAAAGUGGAAGCAUCAACAUUGUUAUUUCAUGAUUUCACAGAUUUGUCGAGGGUUUAUCCACUAAGACUUGAAAGCAAAACGAGAGACUCCUGCAGAAGGUAGCUUAUUAAACACAGUGGUGGUUUGAGAAGCACUGCAGGUGUAAAAUGGUAAGAAGUAGCAAUAUAAUUGGUAAAAAACCUAGCCUGUUCAAGAAUUAUUUGAAAAAACCUGGCCCUAUAGUCAUCACUGUUUCAAGUACCCACUGUAGUUUCCCUUCCCUGCUAUUUGUUUCAACUGGAUAUACAGUAGGUACUUUUGACUCCGAAUUCAUCUUUUCCCUCCUAUCCCUCACUCCCCUUUCUUUCCUUUGAGUAAUUCAUGAAAGUCAGCCUCCAAAAUAGCAUGCUGUUGCAGUUUAACCCCAGCCAGCAGCUCAGCCCCACACAGCCACUCACUCACUCCUCCCAGUGAUCUGGGGGAGAGAAUCAGAAGGGGGAAAGCGAGAAAGCUCAUGGGUUGAAACAAAGGCAGUUUAAUAACCAGCUGCAUCUGCAAGCAAAGCAGAACAAGGAAUUCAUACACUGCUUCCCAUGGGCAGGAAGGUGUUCAGCCAUCUCCAGGGAAGCAGUGCUCCAACACACAUAGAGGUGACUCAGGAAGACAAACUCCAUCACUCCAAAUGUCCUCCCUUCCUUUUUCUUCCUCCAUCUUUAUAUGCUGAGCAUGACAACAAGUGGUCUGCAAUAUCCCUGUGGUCAGGUGGGGUCAGCUGUCCCAGAUGUGUCCCCUCCAAAGCUCUUGUGCACCACCAGCCCCCCUGCUGCUGAGGUGGGGUGAGGAGCAGGAAAGGCUUUGGCUCUGUGUGAGCACUGCUCAGCAACAAUGAAAGCAGCUCUAUUAUCAGCACUGUUUGCAGCAUAAACCCAAAACCCAGCCCCAUACCAGCUACUGUGAAGAAAAUUAACUUGACCCCAGCCAAAACCAGCACUCCUGCUGAUUCCUAACACCAGUGGGUUCAUUCCAGCAGCUCUCAGCAUUCAGUAGGCCAAACCAAAUGAAACAUAUGUGAUCACAUACUCUGAGCACACAGUUUUACUGAGCUUGUGUGUCAAUCUCUGCUUUUAGCAGCAGUAAUAUGAAGUCAGAAUAGUUCCAGUAACCUAGUAAAUGCAUGGAACUAUUACAAACUUGCACUACAUUACCUCAGAGUAGGAACUGAGGCAGGAAAUAGGUAAAAACAUUGCUACAAUAGUACUCAGACUCAUACUAUUGCUAAUAGCUAAACAGAGCUGUUCUGCUAAACCAGUGCCAAUCCACUUUGGAAAAUAAAAGCAGAAAAAAGAUAAAUUAAUAAAAUGCUUUUUACUAUGACUGCUCAACAGUACUACUGUUUCCCCUUCUGUGUUUUCUUAAGUUUCCCAGGAGCAAUGCUACUGGGAAAAAAAAAACAAAAAAGCCCAAAGAUAGGAUUCUUUCUAGAUCUGGAUUAAUUCCAGCAGAAAACACUACAUAUCAGUCCAGACACAAAGCACCAGCAACACUGUUAAGUUUUGUGAUAAUGGAGGUUAACACAUUUAUGGAGCAGUCAACAGAAUACAUGAUGUAAAUCAGGAAAAGCAACAGCCACUCAUGAAUAGUGGUAAUUGGGAUAUAGCACUCUGAGAGCCAAUCAAACAGCACAGGAGAGGUAUGGCUUUCAUGUGAGUAAUUUAUUCUUUCAUCACUUUAAAUUUUACCAGGUAUUGAUUUACAAAGAAACUUUCUGUGGAUAGAAUUUACAUCAGCAACUGCACAUUUUUAGCCAUUACUAGGGUAAGACUAACAUCCUCCCCACGUUGCUUAACAGUGCCAGUUUUGAUCAAACAGGAUUAUUCUUUUGCCAAUUACUUUUCUGACUUAGUUUCAAGUGUAAACAGAAUCUGUACACAUGCUUUUGCUGCAAUUAAGAUCUCUAUUUUACAGAACCAGUUAGUAGAUAGAAACAGUAAAGUUUCAUCUGUUAAUCACAUUUCUUUAUUGAAAUCGGGAUUUAGUUUUAGGUUCAAUGAAGGCUUUAGGCAUAUCAUUGUUAGGGACUGCAAUGCCUCUUUACUAACAUGGUACCCCUGAGAAGAAUCCAAAUUACCUGUCUGGCUGCCCAGUACAGCAUAGAGAGGAGCUCACCUCAAACUGGUGAGCCUGUCUGCAAAAGCUUUCCAAAGAAAACACAUCUGAUUGCAUCAACUCAUACAAGAUCCAUGCUGAAUUACCCAUCGAGGAGGUGGAGCCUGGAAUCUACUCAGAACUCAAUGUACAGGAGCCUGUGUGUGAGCUUUUGGAGGGCUGCAUGAAGCUCAAGCUCACCCCUGAGGAAGAGCCACAGGAUGUGGUCCCCAUGUACCUCCUGAGCAGCCAUCGAGGUUUGAGAACACACACACAUGAACUGCAAGGCCCCAGUUCAGUCCUCACUAAGCUUAUGGGAAUUCAAGCCUAAAUUCCCUAGCAGACAACCUUGAAAACAGGAGUAGUCUAGGGAGGAAAAAUUACUCCCUGAAAAAUUAGGGCAACCAUCUCCUGCAUGUCCCAUUAAAAUGGGAGGACUGUAAGAUUCAGGGGGAAGAAAGACAGCAGGGCAGACUAUGUCUGUCUAGCUGGUCUCAGAUCACUCUGUGAGGAUGACUACCUUGUCUAACUCCAAGAGUUCCUUUAAUCCAUUGACAACCAAGCAGAGGGUGGGAGAUGUGGACUGAAUGCUUGGAGGCUAAGAAAGCACACACAGGUCUCCGUGUUCCUAUGCAAAUACAGUACAGUUCAGGCUUCUCUAGAGAAAAUGGCUGAUUUAAAAGCAAAACACACAUGCAAACACAACUUGCGGGUGGCCUGGCCUUUUGGUUUGUACCUAAAUUAAACCCUAUUACAUCAGUGGUUUCUGGGUAUCCCACUUGGUAGGCAGGUGUGGAACUGCUCUGAGCAGCUCCAAAUGGGUGGAGGGGAACUGCUCAGCAGCUCCACAUGUCAAACAGACAGUUGUGCCAGGUUUAAGUAAAACUAGAGGGUUCUGGAAUGACAAUUUCAGUCUUUUAAUGCCUGAAGACUAUCUAAGUUAUGGUUUUAGUACCCAAGUUUGGGGGCAGGCGGGAGGAGGUUUCUUUGUGAAGAUGGAAUUGGGGGAGAAAACAAUUCUCAGCAAACCUGGGGGAGAAAAAAAGCAAUUCCCAGCAAACCUGCCUCAGGCCUACCAGGGAGGAAACAGAGGCCACAGGGAAGGAAAUCUGGCUAGAAACAUGACUCUGUUGUUAAUCAUCAGGCUGUGACUACGCAGUGUACAAAGGAAACAGAAUUGAUAGACAGCUACUAAUGAAGCCCAGACUCUCCCCACUGACACUGUGCACACAGUGAAAGCAGGUAAGAACUUGAUUCAACUUUUUUAAAAAAUAGGAGCUAACAAAAACACAAACCACUUCAGGUUUCUUGAACACUUAUUACUGUAGAAAUGUAUUUCUUCAUAGUGUACAGCAAAUAAUAUUGGAAGAAAGGAUAUGGUUCAUUCUAUCCCAAAAGUUUGUGGAUUACUGUCACAUCUUAAACCAUGGAAACUUCCCAAAACUCAUUUAGAAGCAUUUUCAUGGAUUAGCAGAAUGAAAAUGCUUAAUUAACAGGAAUGCAAAACCUGGCUUGAUACCUCACUACACUGUAGUAUAAGAACUAUACUACAUAAGUCUUUGAACUAUGAAAUUGCCUUGUAGUGCAAGAUAAAACAGACGUUUCCUUGUGUUCCUGGUGACGCUACUAUUUCAAAAUCUGACCUAGCACUAACAUCUCUAGUUUAAGUAUGCAUCUAAGCCUUGCAUUACACAGCUUGAAAUACUUUCUACAGUUAACAUAAAAAUUAUGUUGAAAGCAAACAUGUAAUUUUUCUUUCCUGCUCAAACUACAACGCUGUAAUUUAAUCUAGAGGCAAUAUUUCCAAGGAUGCUCAUCUGAGAAUUAAAUCAAAUAUUCUGUGAAGGAUGUUAAAUUCCACUGCACCAACCUGUACUGAGGCUAAGAUAAAUGUCACACUCUGCAGGCCUACAGCUCCUGCCUGGCUGAUGCUUUAAUUAGCUCACUAGGGAACAGGCUCACUUGGCUAAGAACCUUUAGGACUGGACCACUGUUUUCUAUAGAAUGACUAACCAGAUCAGCUGCACUAAAACCCUGUACAACAGCAAUGAGAAGAGAAAAAAAAAACAAAAAAAAAACAAAAC